AUGUAUGUGCAGGCGGCUGAUUGUCCGGAAGCUGACCGGACUUCUGAUUUUGCCGAACUAAAGCGGCAGCUGGACGUGGCGGAUGCCGACAUCGCGCUUGUUAAUAAGCGGCUUGACGAGGCCCAGGAUGGAGCUGCUGCCGUAGAGAUCCUUCGGGCGGAGCUUGCCCGAGCCAAGGAACAAGCUCGAAGAAGUGAUGCAACCGCCAUGAAGGCGGUCGAAGAACUGAAAGCCGAACAGGCUGCUCAUCACCGGAGCAAAGAAAAGAUAGCCCAGAUGGCUACCGAGCUGAAGGAUGCCGCCAACCGCCGUGAGCUCCUUGAAGAGGAAAAUCAAGCAAAAGUGGCUGACCUGAAGAAGUCCCUGGAGGCAGCCAAGGAAACCCGCUCUGAAAUGAGGGGGAUGAGGGAGGAGCUUCGUGAAGCCGGAGAUAUCGUAGCUGGGAAGCCCUAUCUGCUGCGGAUGAAAUUCGAAGAUCUGAAGUAUGCCCCUCUGGAUAAGUUGUGGAGUGCGGCGGACUCAUAUGCGGACCUGGCAAAGAGAGCUGCUGAUGCGACCGAGUUUUACAAAGAUCGGAAAGACCAUAAGGCUGAGAGGUUAUUCUGGUCGUAG
rnacentral:rRNA from 1 species